GGGGCCGUUUUAGUUAGACGGUAUUUUUUAGUUCUGUAACCGCAUGCCGUAGCCAUGAAAGUUGAUCUACGCAAAUAUCUCAUCUUUCGCGCUUUAGACACGCCAACAGUCUAGUUAGCAAGGUUAAGAAUGCAUUCGCAACCGCGUUUGCUCCUCUGACCCUUGCGCCAGUUCUCGCUUAACGUGAGAGCCGCCGGCUACUGCUAUCUGGCACAAGUAGGUUCCGGUGUCAUAUUGCCGGGUCCGGUUGAAGACCGCAACGACUUCAAUCUUGGUAAAUAGUUGCACCCGACUGCCUGGUUUUGCUCCGUUCUACAGGCAACUCGGUAAAUAAAACGGAGCGAGCAUGGUCGGUUCAGGGUUAUUGAUUAUCGGACGCGGGUGUGACUCCCGCCGGCUCCACCA
rnacentral:tmRNA from 1 species